rnacentral:rRNA from 1 species
AUACGGGGGGAGCAAGCGUUGUCCGGAAUCAUUGGGCGUAAAGGGCACGUAGGCGGUUUCUUAAGUCGAAUGUGAAAUCUCACGGCUCAACCGUGAAACUGCGUUCGAAACUAAGUGACUUGAGUUUGGGAGAGGUGUACGGAAUUCCUGGUGUAGCGGUGGAAUGCGUAGAUAUCAGGAAGAACACCAAUGGCGAAGGCAGUACACUGGCCUGAAACUGACGCUGAGGUGCGAAAGCGUGGGGAGCAAACAGGAUUAGAAACCCGAGUAGUCC